AGUGAACGCUGGCGGUAGGCCUAACACAUGCAAGUCGAACGGCAGCACAGUAAGAGCUCGCUCUUACGGGUGGCGAGUGGCGGACGGGUGAGGAAUACAUCGGAAUCUACUUUUUCGUGGGGGUGAACGUAGGGAAACUUACGCUAAUACCGCAUACGACCUACGGGUGAAAGCAGGGGAUCUUCGGACCUUGCGCGAUUGAAUGAGCCGAUGUCGGAUUAGCUAGUUGGCGGGGUAAAGGCCCACCAAGGCGACGAUCCGUAGCUGGUCUGAGAGGAUGAUCAGCCACACUGGAACUGAGACACGGUCCAGACUCCUACGGGAGGCAGCAGUGGGGAAUAUUGGACAAUGGGCGCAAGCCUGAUCCAGCCAUACCGCGUGGGUGAAGAAGGCCUUCGGGUUGUAAAGCCCUUUUGUUGGGAAAGAAAAGCAGCAGGUUAAUACCCCGCUGUUCUGACGGUACUCAAAGAAUAAGCACCGGCUAACUUCGUG
rnacentral:rRNA from 1 species